GUGGGGAAUAUUGGACAAUGGGCGAAAGCCUGAUCCAGCCAUGCCGCGUGUGUGAAGAAGGUCUUCGGAUUGUAAAGCACUUUAAGUUGGGAGGGAGGGCAGUAAGUUAAUACCUUGCUGUUUUGACGUUACCGACAGAAUAAGCACCGGCUAACUUCGUGCCAGCAGCCGCGGUAAUACGAAGGGUGCAAGCGUUAAUCGGAAUUACUGGGCGUAAAGCGCGCGUAGGUGGUUCAGUAAGUUGGAAGUGAAAUCCCCGGGCUCAACCUGGGAAGUGCACUUGAUACUGCGUGGCUUGAGUACCGAAGAGGGUAGUGGAAUUCCAGGUGUAGUGGUGAAAUACGUAGAUAUCUGGAGGAACACCGGUGGCGAAGGCGGCUACCUGGUCGAGUACUGACACUGAGACACGAAAGCAUGGGGAUCAAACAGGAUUAGAUACCCGGGUAGUCC
rnacentral:rRNA from 1 species